rnacentral:rRNA from 1 species
GGAAUAUUGGACAAUGGGGGCAACCCUGAUCCAGCAAUGCCGCGUGGGUGAAGAAGGUCUUCGGAUUGUAAAGCCCUUUCGACAGGGACGAUGAUGACGGUACCUGUAGAAGAAGCCCCGGCUAACUUCGUGCCAGCAGCCGCGGUAAUACGAAGGGGGCUAGCGUUGCUCGGAAUUACUGGGCGUAAAGGGCGCGUAGGCGGCGCUGCAAGUCAGGCGUGAAAUUCCUGGGCUUAACCUGGGGGCUGCGCUUGAGACUGUGGUGCUAGAGGACGGAAGAGGGUCGUGGAAUUCCCAGUGUAGAGGUGAAAUUCGUAGAUAUUGGGAAGAACACCGGUGGCGAAGGCGGCGACCUGGUCCGUUACUGACGCUGAGGCGCGACAGCGUGGGGAGCAAAC